AGCAGCCGCGGUAAUUCCAGCUCCAAUAGCGUAUAUUAAAGUUGCUGCAGUUAAAAAGCUCGUAGUUGAAUUUCGGGACCAUCAUGUCGGUCGUGCCUCGGUACGUACUGGUAUUGUUGGUUUCUCCCUUCUGACGAACCAUGAUGUCAUUUAUUUGGUGUUGUGGGGAAUCAGGACUGUUACUUUGAAAAAAUUAGAGUGUUUAAAGCAGGCUCACGCUUGAAUACAUUAGCAUGGAAUAAUGAAAUAGGACGUUUGAUUCUAUUUUGUUGGUUUCUAGGAUCGACGUAAUGAUUAAUAGGGAUAGUUGGGGGCAUUAGUAUUCAAUUGUCAGAGGUGAAAUUCUUGGAUUUAUUGAAGACUAACUACUGCGAAAGCAUUUGCCAAGGAUGUUUUCAUUAAUCAAGAACGAAAGUUAGGGGAUCGAAGACGAUCAGAUACCGUCGUAGUCUUAACCAUAAACUAUGCCGACUAGGGAUCGGAUGAUGUUAAUUUUUUAAUGACUCAUUCGGCGCCUUAA
rnacentral:rRNA from 1 species